rnacentral:tRNA from 1 species
CCCCCGUUGUGUAGCGGCCUAGCACGCCGCCCUCUCAAGGCGGUAGCGCCGGUUCGAAUCCGGUCGGGGGUA